rnacentral:rRNA from 1 species
AUUGAACGCUGGCGGCAGGCCUAACACAUGCAAGUCGAACGAGAGGAGGACAGGUGAGUAAUGUCUGAUCAACUGGCUGAUGGAGGGGGCUAACUACUGGAACAGGUAGCUACUACCGCCUAGCAACGGAUGUGCGCGUAUUGGAUUAGCGAGUAGGUGGGGUAAUGGCUCACCUAGGCGACGAUCCAUAGCUGUCCUGAGAGGGUGACCAGCAACACUGGAACUGAGAAACGGGCCAGACUCCUACGGGAGGCAGCAGUGGGGAAUAUUGCACAAUGGCGGCAAGCCUGAUGCAGCCAUGCCGCGUGAGUGAAGAAGGCCUUCGGGUUGUAAAGCACUUGCAGCGAGGAGGCGUUACUCGCAGAGGAAGCACCGGCUAACUACGUGCCAGCCGCCGCGGUAAUAC